AUCCGUUUUCUUCUUUUUUUCUUUUUAUAGGGGAGACGGAGUGAGAGAUGGUUUCUUCAACAUCUCUUCGCUGAGUUACCCUAACAAUGGAGAUUCUUACUCAGAAGAUAAUGAAUCACAAUGAUGGUGAGAGGGAAAGCAGAAGAAGGUGAUGCUUGGAGAUUUGAGUGGGGUUCUUGAAGCAUGGAUUGUUCUGAGAAAUUGAGGCAGAUUGGUGAAGGCACUAAUGGUUGAUAACACUAUUGUGAAGUUCUAAUUUUCAUAAACCAAAAGCAAACCUAAUGAUCAUCAUCGUUGCGGAAUAAUAAGCUUCUUCUCAAUGUUGCGGUAAUAUUCUUUUUACUCGAAUGAACAAGUAAUUCUUAUGGUUUCAUGAAGUCACUUUCGAUCUUUGCUUAAAUUCUUCUUUGAAUAGAAAUCCGAUUUACACAGAAAUUAGGGUUCUUACAUGUCAAACUUAGGGCUUUGUUUAUAAUGUUUUAGAUUCAUGAAUAUCGCUUGAAUGGGUUUACAGUAAUUCCAUUGAAUUUGUUGGUUUAGAGUUGAACUUCCGAUCUCUUUCUUUCUCAUUGUAUGUUGUGAUCAAUGCCCCCGUUGUUGAUAGCUAACCUUAGAAUUAUCUG